GCCCCAGUAGCCCAAUUGGCAGAGGCAACGGACUCAAAAUCCGUGUGUUGUGGGUUCGAGUCCCACCUGGGGUA
rnacentral:tRNA from 1 species